rnacentral:lncRNA from 1 species
UUACUUUCAAAAAUAAAUUACUUUCACACAGUAUAUAUAGUAAGUUAGAAAUAUAUUUUUUAAAAAUUUCACUUUCGUAUAUUAUUCCUACAAAAAUUUUAAUAUUUUCAAAUGUAAAACACUAUUUAUUUUAUAAGAGAAAUGACCUUUAUGCCAUCAUAAAUCAUGUCCAUUAAAGAGGGAUAAAAAUGUCAAAUUUUAUUAACUAAUUAGGGUUGAGUAUUUUAGUUGUGGUUAACUGAUUUUUUCUAACAAAUCCUAACAGCAGGGACAUAUUUAUAAAAAUCAAAACUUUUGCAGAGACAACAUAUAAAAAUUAAACCUUAGAGAGAUAUAUUUGCUAUUCCCUAUAUUUGUAGGGACCUGUACAAAAUUAAUCCUUCAAAAAUUUAUAUUUUAUCUCUUUAAAAUUUUAAAAAUAUUUUCAAGGAGUAUGUCGUUAAUAAAAAAAACAAAAUAACCAAAUUAUUCUUAUUUCUUCUAUAAAAAAUAAUUUUUUAAUAUAUUUCUGUCAUUUUGAAAGAUAUUUUUAAUAUAAAUUGUAAGAAAUGAACAGAACAGUAAUGGAAUCCUGAUAGAUGAGGGCUAAAUACAAUAAUUUGAAAUGCUGAUGAGGUAAAAUAUAAAAUUUUGAAAGUUAGAAAAAAAAUAAUAAAAAAUAAAUAUUUAUAAGAAGGUUUUCUAUAAUUUCGUCUUUUUCUUUUUUUACCGUUUAGGUUUAAGCCAUUAACUUACUUUCGAAUAAACAACAACGGAAAAAUUAUUUUAGCUUGAACUUUGACUCCACUAAAGUUAUUUUUACAUUAGUCCCCGAGGUUCCAAUCUAGUGUUCUUUUGAUCGUUGAAUCUUUAAGUUCUACUUUUCUUAUAGUAAAUUCUUAAAAGAGUUUUGUUUUAGUCCUCAUAUAUAUUUACUAAUAAAAGAUAAAUAAUUACCUACAACCAGUGAAUCUGUACAUCUAUAUAAUAUUCAUUAUCAACUAUUUUUUUUAUUGUGUAUUUCAAUUCUUAUCAUCCAUUAGAUUACAAAACUAUUUUCUAAAUAAAAAGUGAACCUCAGUUGAAAGUAUGAGAUGAUUAGGAUUUCUGAAGUACGAAUAAAUAUGUAUUAGAUGCAGACAAUAAUUUUUACUUUAAGAUAAUAAUUAAAACAAAAUGUUAUUGACGAUAUAGAGACUAAAUGGAGAUCUUAUUAAAAGUUUUAAGAAUCUUCAAUGCUGAAAUAAAUAGUUUGAGGAUCAAAAAUGAAAAUUGACUAAAAGAUCAAAGGACUAGUGUUUACAAUUUACCUAUUCUAGUAGGAUGUACCAACCCUUUUUUAAGUUUUAUAUAGUAAAAAAAAAAAAAUUGAUCAGAUAAGUAGUAGAAAAAGAGAUCUUUGUAGAAGAGGAGUUAUAGGAUUACACUCCAAAGUGUGUUGUAAAUUUUACACUUCUAAAAAAUGCUUGAUGACCUACUAAACUCAAGUUCAUUUUCAGAAUAAUGUUAUCUACGUACUCUAAAGUAGCAAAUUAUUCGCAAUAAGCUCCUCAACUUUUUUUUUUUUUUUUUUUUUUUUUUUUGUUUUCGGGUGCGUGCAGUUUUUUCUUUGCGGGCUGCAAUGUUACUGGCAUAUCCCACAUCCCAAAGUGAGAGGUACCACUUCAUCUAAAGGCCAUUAAUUUUUUACUUAUCAAAUCAAUACUUGUUUUAUUUUUAUCAAAAAUUAUUUGAAUUUUUUUGAAUCCUAAAAUGGAGGUGUUUAACCUCUUCUUGUGGUGUGGAAGUAGAAUUUUUCUAUUUGGAUUGUGAUCUUACAACUUAAUUCCAUGUAAAGGCUAUAAUUAACAAAGUUAUCUUAUCAUUUUUUUUUUCUUUUUAAACUAAAAGCCAAAAAGAAUUGUUUAAAGUCUUAAACUAUUAGAUUCGGAGUUGUAAAUUUUACAAUCUUUUUGGGUCGUAGACUUAGCAUUUUUCUUCUUUUUUUUUUGGUGGGUUUGGGAGCCGUAAACUUUAAAUUGCUUGCUUAUUUUGUGAUUUAGCUAUUUUUAUUUAAACUAUAUUGUAGUUUAAAGAAUUGUUUAGUCUCUUAAAUAUUAGAUUCAGAAUUGUAAAUAUUACAAUUUUUUUUUGGAUUGUAAACUUUUUUUUUUGUGUGUUUUUUGUGGGUUGGGGGGAGCGGCAAAAAUUGCUGCUUAUUUUGUGAUUUAGCUAUUUUUACUUAAACUAUAUUGUAGUUUUAAAAAAAUUACAUAUAAUUUUAUUUUUAUUUUAGCCAGACAAUAAAAGUAAUACUGUAAAAUAGCUUACUUAAAAACAAAAGGAAAAACUUCAAAUACCACCAUGUGGCUUCACAGUUUCUCACUCUAGUACCCUAUAUUUAAAGUGUAUUAUUUUCGUACUCUGUGAUUUUAUUUUUCUCUUUUUGUUAUCCCAAUCAGUGACAAAGUUAAAACUAAAGGGUACUAAAGUGAAUAUUCAAUAAACUAUAAGUGGGAUAUUUGAAGUUUUUUGUAUAUGAUUUAACGAAAAAUUAAUGGAGGGGCUGACGAAAAGAGAAAAAUAAAAUCAUAGGAUACUAAAUUGGUACACUUUAGACUAUAGGGUACUAAAAUGAGAAAGUGCGAAACCACAUGCCCUCGGCCGCAGCCUCGCCAUCGUCCACCCCUUUGUCCAUAUCCAGACACACGCCCUCGCCAUUCUCUGCCGCCAAGAUGAGCAAGAUUGAGAAGGAGGAGUUGAAGAAUAUGAGGGUAAUUUGGUUAUUUUGUCACAUUGUGAACAUUUUUGUUUUUCAAAGAGGCAAAAUGUAAGUUUUUAAAUGAAAGGGAAGGAACGUGAAAAAGCGAGUAUUUGACAGCAUAUCUAUAACAUAUUAUAAAUUCUCAAAGAAUUUAAGCUCUGUCCGCGUUUUAGGGAAAAAGUGGGCCCGCCUCUUCUCUAAAUAUUAGGAAUAAGUUUUUUAAUAGAGCCUACUUUUCCUCUCUCUUUAAUUAAGAUUGGUCAUUUAAUUAAAACUUUUCGGUUCCUUCUCUCCUCUCAAACACCCCUCCGUCUCCUCCCUCUCAAUCCACGUUUUAGAAAAAAAAAAAUGGGACAUGCCUCUUCUCUAAAUAUUAUCUAUAACAUAUUAUAAAUUCUCAAAGAAUUCAAGCUCUCUCCGCGUUUUAGGAAAAAAGUGGGCCCGCCUUUUCUCUAA